CUCUAUUAUCCAUUCCCUGCUUCCGUUCCCAUCGACCAAUAUCUACAACCAUUACACAACCUCGCCACGUGGCAGUCUUCAGACGAGGGUCUUGCAUGUCGAAGUCUGCGGGUCCCACAUCGCUGGCACGAGAUACCUCCUUCCAUUCGCACCAUGCGCAUUGUAACUCGCCCCGGUUGCCUUAUCCACGAGAACCCGACCCGGAUAACCCGGGUACGACCCACUUCCGAAAACACCAGUGCAAGCCGAAACGGCCUCUAACGGCGCCGUUGGGGGACCCUGGAAGUAACCGUUGUUGAAAGGGUUGGUAACUGUGCCAGCGAGAAGCGUGGCCAAGUUAAUAACCAUUCCGUCAACCCCGGCGUCGCCGUUAGGAGAAACUAACGGCGGCGUCUGGGGCCCGUAAAUCGGUUGGUGGAAUGGCCACGCGCAUUGCCCGGGGCACUGUGUUUCGGAGUUUCCAACCCAGA
rnacentral:lncRNA from 1 species